rnacentral:rRNA from 1 species
AGUGAACGCUGGCGGUAGGCCUAACACAUGCAAGUCGAACGGCAGCACAGUAAGAGCUUGCUCUUACGGGUGGCGGGUGGCGGACGGGUGAGGAAUACAUCGGAAUCUACUUUUUCGUGGGGGAUAACGUAGGGAAACUUACGCUAAUACCGCAUACGACCUACGGGUGAAAGCAGGGGAUCUUCGGACCUUGCGCGAUUGAAUGAGCCGAUGUCGGAUUAGCUAGUUGGCGGGGUAAAGGCCCACCAAGGCGACGAUCCGUAGCUGGUCUGAGAGGAUGAUCAGCCACACUGGAACUGAGACACGGUCCAGACUCCUACGGGAGGCAGCAGUGGGGAAUAUUGGACAAUGGGCGCAAGCCUGAUCCAGCCAUACCGCGUGGGUGAAGAAGGCCUUCGGGUUGUAAAGCCCUUUUGUUGGGAAAGAAAAGCAGCAGGUUAAUACCCCGCUGUCCUGACGGUACCCAAAGAAUAAGCACCGGCUAACUUCGUG